AUGGGGAACAAGAUCGCGCGGACGACGCAGGCGUCGGCGACGGAGUACUACCUGCACGACCUGCCCUCCACCUACAACCUCGUGCUGCUCGACCUCGUCAGCCGCGGCCGCUUCCUCAAGUCCGUCCUCUGCAAGCACGACGAGGGCCUCCUCCUCGUCAAGGUCUACUUCAAGCGCGCCGGGGAGCCCCUCGACCUCAAGGACCAUGAGCGGAGGCUGGAGCGGAUCCGGAGGGCGUUCCAGGGGCUCGAGGGCUCCCACGUCUGGCCCUUCCAGGUUUGGUUUCAGACGGACAAGGCAGCAUAUCUCCUGAGGCAGUACUCCUACAGCAAUCUGCAUGAUAGACUUAGUACACGCCCUUUCCUCAGUCAAAUUGAGAAGAAAUGGCUUGCUUUUCAGUUAAUCCAUGCUGUGGAGCAGAGCCAUAGUAAGGGAGUUUGCCAUGGUGACAUAAAAUGUGAGAAUGUACUGGUGACCUCAUGGAACUGGCUAUACCUCACGGACUUUGCGUCUUUUAAACCAACUUACAUCCCGGAUGAUGAUCCGUCUGAUUUUUCGUUCUUCUUUGACACUGGAGGAAGGCGAAGAUGCUAUCUUGCACCUGAAAGAUUCCACGAACAUGGUGCUGAGUCCCAAGUUUCCUCAGAUGCACCUCUGAAACCAUCUAUGGACAUAUUCUCUCUCGGGUGCGUUCUUGCUGAACUUUUUCUGGAGGGUCAGCCACUUUUUGAGCUUUCACAACUGCUUGCUUAUCGGCGUGGCCAGUAUGAUCCAACGCAUACCCUAGAAAAGAUACAAGAUGCUGGUAUCCAAGAUAUGGUACUUCACAUGAUUCAGUUGGACCCCAAAGAAAGGCUAUCAUGUAAAAGCUAUCUGCAAAAAUAUGCAACUGUUGUUUUUCCAACCUAUUUUUCAAGAUUUCUGCACAAGUUUUUCUCGGAUAUUGUUCCACUUGGCUCAGAUGCCAGGGUUGAGAAGACACAGGAAAAUUUUGAAAGGAUACAUGACAUGAUGAUAAGUGGCUUAGCAUGUGAACAAAUUCAAGUAUCUGGGGAGAAAGGCAUUGGAGGACAAGCUGCAAAUUCACCGAGAGAAUCUGCCCAAAGCGCAUCUUUGGUUAAGAUAAACAUUCCUGGAGACCAUCGGCAGAUUGUUGGAGACCUCAAUCUCCUUCUCAAGGAAGUUGAGCAAAGGAACAACCAUGGAGACACAAAGUCAAAUGGUAUUGGGCCCUUGCAGCAGCCUAAUGAAACACGAAGUCAAACUACAAGUGUCUUGGCAGCUCAGAAUGAUGAUGUAUCCCAUGUGCACAAGAUCUCCAAGAGCAAUUUACUUUCUUUAGUGUCUGGUUAUGAUUCCCAAUCGGAUACCUAUAGUUUUGACAUUUUCCAACAGACACACUCCAAGGUGAGCUGUGAAGGCAUGGUCUUGCUUGCAUCAUUAAUAUGCUCAUCCAUACGAAGUGUCAAAAAACCAGAACUGAGAAGGGCCAGUCUCAUUCUUCUGAAGAUCUCUUCCACAUACAUAGAUGAUGAUAGUCGCUUACAGCUGGUUGUUCCCUAUGUUAUUGCAAUGCUCUCAGAUCCAGCUGCCAUUGUUCGCUGUGCUGCUCUGGAAACCUUGUCUGAUGUUCUGUGUCUUGUUCAAGACUUCCCUAUCAGCGAUGCAAUGAUAUUCCCUGAGUAUAUCCUCCCGAUGCUUUCUUUGCUCCCAGAUGAUGCAGAGGAGAGUGUUAGAGUUUGCUAUGCUAGUAACAUUUAUAAGCUGGCUUUAACAGCUUAUAGAUUCCUGCUUCGUUCUCGGAGCAUAGCUGAUACUGGGCCUCUAGACAAAUCAGUGGUGGCUGCUGCAUCACAGUCUGCAGAUGCACCAGCAAAGAAGAAGGAUGAUAAAAUUGAUCGUCAACUUGCACGUCUGAGGAGAAAUAUUUAUGACAUUGUGCAAGAGUUGGUGAUGGGACCUAAGCAGACACCUAAUGUCCGCAGAGCUCUCCUGCAAGAUAUAGGUUAUCUAUGUUACUUUUUUGGGCACAGACAAAGUAAUGAUUUUCUUCUUCCUAUACUCCCAGCAUUUCUAAAUGACCAUGAUGAGCAACUCCGUGCAGUUUACUUUGGUCAAAUCGUCGUUGUUUGCUACUUCAUUGGUUCAAGAAGUGUUGAGGAAUAUCUCUUGCCCUAUCUUGAACAGGCACUAAGCGAUGAUAUGGAGGCUGUGGUUGUAAACGUACUUGAUUGCUUAACCAUGAUGUGCAAAAGCAGUUAUCUGAGGAAAAGGGUAAUCGUUGGCUUAUUUGGGAAGGCCCUUCCAUUACUAUGUCAUCCAAUUCAGUGGGUUAAAUGGUCUGCUGUAAGGCUUAUUGCUGCCUGUAGUGAGAGCUUAGGGCCUGUAGAUACUUAUGUGUACCUUUCUCCACAUUUAAGGCAAUUUCUACACAGGGAGCCACCUUCAUUGUCUGAAACUGCUCUUCUUGCAUGUCUUAAGCCUCCAGUCUCGAAAUCAGUCUUAUACCAAGCUUUAGAUCUUGCCAAGGACACAGGAGAGGUUUUACUGAAGGGUGAUGUUAAAAAGGAACAGAUAUUACAUGGUGGAAGAUAUCCUGCUACAGCACAAAGUGUGUCCUCUGCUGCUCUGGAAGAUGCUGUAAGGUCGAGAACAUCUACUUUGGACAUCAAAGAUUCAAUUUCUUCGGAUAAAUCGUUAUAUUAUGGCUAUGCGCCACAUGCAUCUGCUGGGAGUAUUUCAUUUUAUGAUGGAUUGUCUAAAGGAAUACCAUCAUAUUCUGUUAAUACUGAUAAGCGUGGUUUAGGAGAAAUAUAUAUGCCCUGGGAAUCCAAUCGGCAUCCAGCUUUAUCAAGUUCAGUUCAAGGCUUCCAGACUAGAGAGAAUCAUUUCAGUAGCAAGCAUGGUGAUUUAAGCAUCAGUGACCCAAGGAAGAGCAGCUCUCCUGUGCCAGGUGAUGGCGGUUCCAACUCUGAGACAGCAGUAUCGCCCUCCUUCACCAGAUCAUCGGUGGCUCUGGAGACAGGUUGGAAGCCUCGUGGAAUUCUAGUGGCACAUCUCCAGGAACAUCGCUUGUCUGUCAAUGAUAUUGCCGUGUCAGACGACAAUUCCUUUUUUGUGACGGCUUCGGAUGACUCGAGUAUUAAGAUAUGGGAUACAAGAAAGUUGGAAAAGGACAUUGCCUUCAGAUCUAGGUUAACCUAUAGCUUGGGUAGUAGCCGAGCUCUAUGUACAACAAUGCUUUGUGGCAGUUCGCAGGUCGUUGCUGGUGCUAGCGAUGGCACAUUGCACUUGUUUUCUGUCGACUGUGCACGUGGAGCUGGGAGUUCUACAGAGAGGUAUUCUGGCAUCGUUAAUGUAAAAAGGAAAGAUCUGAAAGAAGGUGCAAUUCUCAGUGUUGUAAAUUGUUCAUCGGAUAGCUUUAGCCCAACCAUCCUUUUCAGCACUGAACAUUGUGACAUCCAUAAAUGGGAUACAAGGUCCAAUUCAGAAUCUUGGUCAUUUAAAUCGUCACCGGAGGAGGGUUAUAUCUCGGCACUCGUGAUGGGCCAGUGUGGAAAUUGGUUUAUCUCAGGGUCUUCAAGAGGUGUUCUUACGUUGUGGGAUCAUAGGUUUUUGCUGCCUGUUAACUCAUGGAACUAUUCCACAGUAAGCCCUAUAGAGAAAUUGUGCUUGCUUAUACCACCACACAACUCAAUAUCUUCUAGUGGAAGACCACUCGUUUUUGUGGCUGCGGGUUGCAAUGAAGUCUCCUUGUGGAAUGCUGAGAAUGGUAGCUGCCACCAGAUGUUCAGGACAGCAGGCACCGAGAAUGAUGCUGUUACGCCAAAGACACCAUCAAAACCUCUUAACAAGACAACCGCCAAAGACGUGAGGCGAGCAGGAAACUACAAGUACAGAAUUGAGGAACUGGCCGAUCCGCCUCCACGCCUUCCAGGCAUCCGGUGCCUGCUUCCUUUGCCAGGGGGAGAUCUGUUGACCGGCGGAACAGAUUUAAAGAUACGUUACUGGGACCAGGCCAGACCUGAGCAAAGCUUCUGCAUCGCUGGUCCUUCAGCAAAAGGAGUUGGAAACGACGAGUUUUACGACAUACGAUCCAGCUAUGGUGUACAGGUUGUGCAGGAAUCGUGCAAACCGCCUACACCGGCGUCCAGAUUGACGCACAAGACGCAGCUCGCGAUGGCCGCCGCCGAUUCUGCCGGCUGCCACCGGGACGCGAUCCUCGCGUUGGCCUCCGUCAACUUGUCGAGCCAGCGGUUGAUAUCGGCCAGCAGAGACGGCGCAGUCAAGGUGUGGAAAUAG
rnacentral:rRNA from 1 species